rnacentral:lncRNA from 1 species
GAAUUGGGUUUCUGGUUGUGUUUGGAUUGAGAGAAAAUGAGAGAAAUUAUAAGCAUACACAUUGGCCAAGCAGGGAUCCAGGUGGGAAAUUCAUGCUGGGAGCUCUAUUGCCUCGAACAUGGCAUUCAACCUGAUGGCAUGAUGCCCAGGUACCCAUUUCUCAAUUUUCAGUUUUUGACGCUUUUUUCUUUUUUUUUUCUUUUAUCUUUUUGGUCUGAAUUGGGUUUGGUAGAGGGUUUUGUGUUUGUUUGGUUUCUUCUUAUUUAAUCCAUGUUUUGAUGUUCUUAAUUGUGGGUUUUUGGGAAAUGUGUUGGGUGUUUUUGAUUGAUUUGUGGGGAUUUUUUUAAGGGUUUGUUGAAUUUAAUCGAGAUUACCAUUUUCUGGGGGAGAUUUCUUUGAUUCGUGUGGUUGAAUUGUGUUUGACUCGGUUAAUUUGCUUGAUCAUCCAUUGGAAAAUGGUGUACUUCAAAGGAGAGGGGGGAGAUUAAGAGAUCUUUAAUUCACUUGCUGUUCUAUAAAUUGAUCACAGAAUGGUAAACUGUUGAACAGAUAACGCCAUGGACUCAGAAGCACACUGUUUUGUCUCUUUCUAUUUGGGUUUGUGGCUCAAACUCAUGGACUGUAUUAUGAUCGAUAUUGAUUCGGCUUUGUGUCUGUAAUGGGCAUGGUACCUUUUUUUUCUCUGUAGUAGUAAAGGGAAGAAUGGGGUAGUGUUAUUUUGUUUAUUGUGGGUCAAUUUUGGAAAUUUUGAUUUCCUUCUACUAUGUAUUUCCUUUCUUGUGUUUGUUUUGUGGGUUGUGGCCUUUUUCUGUUUUUGAAUUCUCAGGAUAUUGGAAGCAGCUUGUUGUUUUGAGGUCAGAUUUGUAGCAGAAAACUUAUGGACUUUAGUGUAUUUGCAGUGAUACUACAGUGGGCGUUGGGCACGAUGCUUUCAACACCUUCUUCAGUGAGACCGGCGCAGGCAAGCAUGUGCCUAGAGCGAUAUUUGUUGAUCUGGAGCCAACUGUCAUUGAUGAAGUCAGGACUGGAACGUACAGGCAGCUGUUCCAUCCUGAGCAACUAAUUUCUGGCAAGGAGGAUGCUG